UCUCUGCAGCCCCACAGCCCUGGCCGUGAGGAGGCUUUGACAGCUCCCAAGGCGGGCUGCUGCGCUGUACAAACCGGGUUGCGAAAUAAAACGCUUAUUUAAGCAAUGCCACCGCUGUAAUGUCGCCCUUCCGUGAACCUAAGUGUGUAACAGCGGUUUAUCUGUCAAUCUCAAGACAAAAUGUUUCAGCGCCUGUAACAGGCUGCAUUGAAACACUGAAACAGGCUGAGGGCAAACACAGACUUCCAUUUGAAUUUGUGAGGUAACACUGUGCCUCUCUGCAGCCAGGGAGUUGAGGACAAUAAUGACUUUGCCCCUUACACUGCUGUGGGGGGAAAAAGAAGUGAAGCCCUGUGCAAAGAUUGUAUGCAGAGUAUUUCUUUCCUUAUAGUUUCAAGCUAGGAACACGUCUCUGAGGACAAGCUGUGUGUGAAGUUUCAGGUUUUAAGGGCGGGCAAAGCCACUGUCUCCUGGGGUUUGAUUGAUUGGGGCAAACAGGGCUCCUUUUGGCGUUGGGUGGCUGACAGGAUGGCAUCAAAACCCUCUAAUUUCUGCCCACCCGAAAAGUAAUAAAAUCGCCAUGGCAGGAAAGGAAGAUUUCACUCCCGCAGAUGCAGAGUCCUAGUUUUGCAUUAAAGGAAGAGCUGGCUGAGGGAGAGCAGUCAGUUUCCCUCCCCGAGCUCUGGAUGGCAGCAGAUGCGAAUGUACUUGAGCCUCAGGCUCGCUACAGCGAGGGGAGAGCCCGGCAGCCGGCAGUGCUCCCCCAUGGUCCCGCUCCUCUGGGAGCUCCCUGCUCCCUUCUCUCCCCCAGCAUUGCGGAUAAAUACACGCAGAGAAAACGGAUAUUCCCUGCCAAAGGGAAUCUUUCCUUCGGCUUUACCACUGGUACAUCAUGCUUGGGCAGAGCGGUGAUUUCCAGGUCCAAACAGCCCUCCUGCAGACCUGUUUGUGCACCCAUCCCUUUACACACGCACCUUCCUAAGGCCCAGACAAGUUUCUUGCAUUGAAAGUGAGAUUUAUCCAACAGGCAUUCUCCUGUACAUUCAGGGCUGUAUGCCUCAUGUUUGCAAUGUAGCAGCCUUUUUUUGCAUUGCUGGGUGUAGCUGUACCCUUCUUGUGAACCAGAACAUGUUUUGCCGUAUGCAAAAUAAAGAAUACACGGAAUUAAAAGAAAUAGCAUAUACAUGCACAGAAACCAAAGGCUAUCCUAAGUAACAACUCAGUACAAAUGUGCUGGGAAUAAGCUGGUUUUCCCAAGUGGCCUGAAAUACACAGCAGUCAAAACUGUAAAGUUCAUCUCAAUGUGUGCUGCAGGAUGAGUUGCUGAGGAAUGAGCUGAAGUGGAUUCUCACCCCUUUCCAAUGCGUUUGGCUGGUUCCAAAUGAGAUGGCUAAUGAAAAUGCUAUUGAAUAAGCAGUUCUGAAGGGAGGAAAUCAUGCAGAAUGGGUAGAUAGAUUUGUGAUCGCUGUAAGAAUAUCUGGCUAAUAGUUAUUCAAAAUAAACACAAAAAUCCAGGAUACAUGAUUCAUCUGCAUCAGCUGCCCAGGGGACUAUCAAAGGUGAAUAUUUGCAAACCCUACGGAAGGAUCCAACAGAUGAAACUCUCUGGUGCAACCUAAGGGGACUAUUGCAUAAAGGAGAACGGGAUUUAUAAUGCAGUGUCUGAGAGGGAAACACUGAGGUUGAACAGGAGACUGUUAAAAUGAUACAGGAUUGUUGUGAAAUGUUUGGGAGAAAGGCCAAAGACAAGGAAGGGAGGAACAAAACAGACCGAAGCAGAUUGAAGAAAGGGAAUAAAAAGGACUGUUUUCAUGUAAGCAAGCUUCUGGUCAAUACGCUUCUGUGGCUGAGACCUGUGACUUAUUGCCACUGUCUGUUUCAUGUUUUUAAGUUCUGGGUUUAGCUAUUUUCCAUGUGAUCGUGCUCUCUGUUCCAUGUCUGUGCAUGUGAUCUGCUCAUGAACUCCAAGCCAGACUAGCUGGUGAGUUGAAUGAGCAGUUUGGCAAACAGGUACUGGAGACACUCAAAGGGGGGUUUCCCUGAGCACUCAUCCAUAGAACAAGGAUCAGGCUGUGCAUGCUGCCUGCAGGUGUGGUGUGGGUCUCUAAAGACAGGGCAGAAACAGGACCGAGGCACCUCACACUUGUAGGAUAAAGAAUUUGAUGCCAAAAAGGCAUCUUUUUUUGGUGAAUCUACUAUUCUCCUAAAACACAUUUAUUUUGUGACUAAUCCAUCAGCAUAUUUACUUACUAGAGCAUACUAGACUACCGAGAGGUUAAGCCUCUAUGCUUUGUCAUAUUAAAACUCUGACUGCAGAAGGUUAGAUGCAGCCCCUGAAGAAACCAGUGACAGUUUAAAUCAGCAGAGAGGUUCAUACAGCAUUCAGGAAGCUCCGAACCGGGCCCGUGCACAUUAUGGCAAGGUUACUUACAACUCGUAUGCAACCCCCCAGUGCCAUGAUGAGAAUCACUGCUAUCCUGUGUGUCAUUUCACAAACUGAGGAAGUUACUGACAACAGAGGUGGUUGUUAUGGGGACAGCAGUCUGUCAAAGAGAAGAGGCUAUGUGACAAAGAGAACAACCAGUUAUGAAGAAUUUGUUCUCAUACCAACAGGCACUUCAGGCACCAGACAGAAGAGGAGGUGCUUUCACAUGCAGCCCUACAAAUACACAGAGCAUUUUUGGGCUUUUAAAGUAUACUGCCCCAGAAUCACAAGCACAAGGAGAAGAAACUGGAUCUGGAGGCAGACCAGGGCUCUAGCAGGACUCCAAAAAGGAAAAGAACCUAAGCUAAGCAAAGCAAAACAAAAUGGAGACGUAAGAAGAGAAAGGGAACAGACCAGUAUUGUACUUCAUUUGUUCUCAAUGAUCCAAAACAUGGAUGUUUCCGCUCAGUAUAUUAACACAGAAGCAGAUCAUUCCCUCUGAGCCUCGCAGAAGAACCAUGGUAACCAUCCAGAGCCAUGCUGAUUCCAGUGGGCUCUUAUGUCUGUCAUCACAGCACAAAUCAGAGCUAUCAUAUGGGAUUUCCAAAACUGAAAUAUUAUGGCCUUUGUAUGUAUAUGUUGUAUAACACAAAUAAAAAAUGCCCUAAAACUCA